UUAAUUACAUAAAGUACCUUAUUUAUAUAUUUUAUUUCUGUUUUUAUACAAAAUUUCACAAAUACAGAUUCUGUACUACAAUGUAAAUUAUAUUGCCAUGUCAACAACUUAACCAGAUAUUUAAGGGUAAGCUUUUUAUCAACAAAUGUGACUCGUGUUGGUGGUAGUUCAAUAAAUUACAACCUCUUUCAUAGUAAACAAGUGGAUUAAGUUCACAAUAUAAAUGAAAGAUAAGAAAUUAGACAGUGUCUGUAAGGUUCACCCAACGGCCAACACUUACUAUAAAAAAACAAAGUUUGAAUUCAACAAAUUGUGAAGUUGAGUAACGCUAUAUGUUAUUGUUGGAAUGGUAAAUGGGUCAGAUUCUGCAACCCAUUAGGAAGGUAUAAUCCGGAGGUGAAGGCACCUACCACCAGGCAGGUUUGGCUGAUAGUCUUGUUGUUUCUCACAUAGUAGUAGGUGGAGGGCAGUGAGAAAAUUUGUGUCAGAUGGUGGCUAGUGUGAGGCAUCUUUCUCCGAAUUGCAGUGUGGAAAAGGGGAAUUUGUAAGAAAGGUAGAAAAUUGAGAAGGACCCAUUUUCUGGCAGGUUGGGUUAAAUAAAAAAGGGCCCCAUGCUCUGCCUGCAAGUUCUGGUCGCUGUUAUGAUGAUAUUGAUGCCUCGUUCAACGUGUUGCUAGCAGAGGCACUUUUAGGUUGUCACUGUUGAAGAUACUCAUGGUGUCAACGUCUCCAUGUUAGGUUACUGAUUUUCCAGAUUGGAACGUAUCAGAACGGAUUUCUUAGGCAACAUACAUAAUACAUACGUAUACUGACAUCGACAAUCGUAUGCUCAGAUUUUUCCCUCUCUUUUGUUUUCUUCUAAUCAAACUCUUAAACCUCACUUAUUUUCUGGACUAUGCCAAUGUACAAAAC